CCUACGGGUGGCAGCAGUGGGGAAUAUUGCACAAUGGGGGAAACCCUGAUGCAGCGACGCCGCGUGAGUGAAGAAGUCUUUCGGUAUGUAAAGCUCUAUCAGCAGGGAAGAAAAUGACGGUACCUGAAUAAGAAGCCACGGCCAAAUACGUGCCAGCAGCCGCGGUAAUACGUAGGGGGCAAGCGUUAUCCGGAUUUACUGGGUGUAAAGGGAGCGUAGACGGCAGCGCAAGUCUGAAGUGAAAUCCCAUGGCUUAACCAUGGAACUGCUUUGGAAACUGUGCAGCUGGAGUGCGGGAGAGGUAAGCGGAAUUCCUAGUGUAGCGGUGAAAUGCAUAGAUAUUAGGAAGAACACCAGUGGCGAAGGCAGCUUACUGGACUGUAACUGACGUUGAGGCUCGAAAGCGUGGGGAGCGAACAGGAUUAGAUACCCUGGUAGUC
rnacentral:rRNA from 1 species